UGGCUGAGUGGUUAAGUGCUUGGCUUCCGAACAUGGGGCCCUGGGUUCGAAUCUCAG
rnacentral:tRNA from 1 species